rnacentral:rRNA from 1 species
UGGGAGUGGGGUUCAACCAGAAGCAGGUUGCCUAACCGCAAGGAGGGCGCCUACCACGGUGAAGCGUUCAUGACUGGGGUG